rnacentral:rRNA from 1 species
CGAGCGGUAACAGAUCCAGCUUGCUGGAUGCUGACGAGCGGCGGACGGGUGAGUAAUGCAUAGGAAUCUGCCCGAUAGUGGGGGAUAACCUGGGGAAACCCAGGCUAAUACCGCAUACGUCCUACGGGAGAAAGGGGGCUUCGGCUCCCGCUAUCGGAUGAGCCUAUGUCGGAUUAGCUAGUUGGUGAGGUAACGGCUCACCAAGGCCACGAUCCGUAGCUGGUCUGAGAGGAUGAUCAGCCACAUCGGGACUGAGACACGGCCCGAACUCCUACGGGAGGCAGCAGUGGGGAAUAUUGGACAAUGGGGGGAACCCUGAUCCAGCCAUGCCGCGUGUGUGAAGAAGGCCCUCGGGUUGUAAAGCACUUUCAGCGAGGAAGAACGCCUAGCGGUUAAUACCCGCUAGGAAAGACAUCACUCGCA